UACGGAGGGUGCGAGCGUUGUCCGGAAUCAUUGGGCGUAAAGGGCGCGUAGGUGGCCCCUCAAGCGUGCGGUGAAAGUCAGGGGCUCAACCCCUGAUCGGCCGUGCGAACUGGGGAGCUUGAGCACUGUAGAGGCAGGCGGAAUUCCGGGUGUAGCGGUGGAAUGCGUAGAGAUCCGGAGGAACACCAGUGGCGAAGGCGGCUUCCUGGUCUGCAACUGACGCUGUGGCGCGAAAGCUAGGGGAGCAAACGGG
rnacentral:rRNA from 1 species